rnacentral:rRNA from 1 species
UACGUAGGGUGCAAGCGUUAAUCGGAAUUACUGGGCGUAAAGCGUGCGCAGGCGGUUGUGCAAGACCGAUGUGAAAUCCCCGGGCUUAACCUGGGAAUGGCAUUGGUGACUGCACGGCUAGAGUGUGUCAGAGGGGGGGUAGAAUUCCACGUGUAGCAGUGAAAUGCGUAGAUAUGUGGAGGAACACCAAUGGCGAAGGCAGCCCCCUGGGUCAACACUGACGCUCAUGCACGAAAGCGUGGGGAGCAAACAGG